CACCUGAAUAACAAGGAGACACUGCCUGGCACGCCAACACAUUGCUCACCAUGUUCAUGAGAAUUAGGUCCUUUCCACCUUGGACCAGACUGGGGUUUCUUAACUUUUAUUCUUCUGUUCCUGUAUAUUAGGUUCCCUUACCAGAGGUCUAUAAUAACAAUGUAAUGCAUCAACACACAUUUAUUUGUACACAAAAGGUAGGUAAAGGUAAAAGGUAAAGGAUCCCUGGACAGUUAAGUCCAGUCAAAGGCAAUUAUGGGGUUGUGGCGCUCAUUUCACUUUCAGCCCGAGGGAGCCGGCGUUUGUCUGCAGACAGCUUUCCGGGUCAUGUGGCCAGCCUGACUAAGCUGCUUCUGGCGCAACGGGACAUCGUGACGGAAACCAGAAUGCAUGAAAAUGCUGCUUACCUUCCCGCCGCAGCAGUACCUAUUUAUCUACUUGCACUGGCGUGCUUUUGAACUUCUAGGUAGGCAGGAGCUGGGACAAAGCUACAGGAGCUCACCCCGUUGUGUGGAUUUGAACCACCAACCUUCUGAUCGGCAAGCCCAAGAGGCUCAGUGGUUUAGACCACAGCAUCACCUGCAUCCCUAUAUCCAGGUAAGCAAUGAUGCUCUGCCUAUGCCACCUCGCUAUUGGAUCAAAUAUGCUGUUCAAACACUUGUUGUGGGAAUCCUUCAUUUCCAUCUUGCCAAGCCUGGCAGCAAGAUUUCAAUAUGCUGCUCCUUUAAUGCUAGUGGAGAAAUAAGAAUUCGCUUUCUGAUAGGAACAAAAACCCUAGGCAUAACAAAGAAAACAAGGGCUUCUCUGAUCAAAGCACUUUAGGAAAUGGGCAGCAAAGUUUUUCAAAGUCUCAAAGUUGCUGCUUUUAAUAGUUGCAACUCUGGUUGUCUCUCCCUUACUUUCCAUUCCAACAAUCAACUCCUUCCCUCCUCCACAUACACAGUGUGUUAAAAAAAAAAAAGUUAACAGUUUUAUAGGGAUGUGCAAAAGUGUUUCAAUCCAUUCUAACAUUGAUUCACACUUCCACUUGGGUAUUGUACCCAAUUGGUUUAUUUUGCAGAAGUCUUCCCUUUGCUUUGUUGUUCACUGAUGUGGAAAUAUAUAUUUUGGGGUUUUUGCAUACAUCAAAAAACACCAUAGACAUGUGUAUCUCAUCCAUCAAAAGAUAUUUACAAUUCAAUUGCGUUCUUGUGUUUUCCUUUUCAGAAUUAAUAAAUUUCAAGAAGGGUAGCCCUGUUAGACUGCUGUAACAAAAACUUCAAAGAGUAUUGCGUGACAAGGCUCCCAAACCAGCCCCUCAUUAGAAUAAAAUUCACACUGACACAGAAUUUUGGUUUAAGGUUAUUGGGCAAAUUUUAGGCCACAACUUUAUUGAUUACAGACAUGUGAGCGGUAUUGGCUUAGGCAUUGGCAAAGGACUAUAUCAGACUCCUGCCCCUUUGCAGGAAGUCAGUAAAGGUAAACCACCCAAAGAGAAAGCCACAUCGGGGGAACCCACUUGUAGCUCUCCUCAGUGUCCCCAGAGGCGUGGCAUGGACCUAGCCCCUCAAGCAGACUUCGGACAGGAUCCAGGCCCUGGAUUCCUUUAACGGAAUACCCUUGGUCAAUGGAGGGGUGGGCGGUGGCUGACUUCCCCUCCCCCACAAAUCAAUGAACCAGUGCCUAACCGCCAAACCUUACAAAGUUGUGACGAUUGCUAAGAGGUAGGCCAAAACCAAGUGGCCAGUGGUAAAGGUAAAGGUAAAGGGACCCCUGACCAUUAGGUCCAGUCGUGACCCACUCUGGGGUUGCGGCGCUCAUCUCGCUUUAUUGGCCGAGGGAGCCGGCGUACAGCUUCCAGGUCAUGUGGCCAGCAGGACUAAGCCGCUUCUGGUGAACCAGAGCAGCACACGGAAACGCCGUUUGCCUUCCCGUCGGAGCGGUACCUAUUUAUCUACUUGCACUUCGACGUGCUUUCAAACUGCUAGGUUGGCAGGAGCAGGGACCGAGCAACAGGAGCUCACCCAGUUGCGGGGAUUCGAACCGCCAACCUUCCGAUCGGCAAGCCCAAGCCUCAGUGGUUUAGACCACAGUGCCACCCAAAUGGAAAAAUGCCUACCUGGCCCCCGUCCUAAGACAGGCAACCAACCAAAGUCCAAAGCAAGGCCAGAGGACAUCUAAAAUAAAGGGCGGGUGGGCAGGUGUUCGUCAGUGUGAAGCAGGUUUUUUGCAUAUAUCAAAACACACAAUAGACAUGCGUAUCUCAUCCAUCAAAAGAUAUUUACAAUUCAAUUGCAUUCUUGUGUGUUCCUUUUCAGAAUUAAUGAAUUUCCAGAAGGGUGGCCCUGUUAGACUGCUGUAACCAAAACAUCAAAGAGUCUUAUGGAAUCUUAAAAAUAAUGCGAGAGAGAGAGAAAGUGUCCAACAGCCCAUUACAAAGCCAUCUAUAGCUGCAAUCCUAACCUUGCCUAUCAGAAAUAAGUCUCAUUCAAUAAGGCACACUCCCUGGUAAGUGGGGUUUCAAUUGCAGCCUAUUUUACAUAACCACAUUUAAGUCCAUUUCACUGCAACAUUUUAUGCCAUAAAGUUGUAUUUUAUACCAAAAAUAGUCAUGUGUGCAUCUGUUGAAACAAAACACUAAAGCUGAUUUAUGUUUUAAAUGUUUCUGGUAAACAUGAUUUUGUAUUUGACAGUUUAAAAUCCUCUUUAUUUUGUUCCAAUGUAUUCCUGCCAUGUGAAAAACAACAAUAAUGAAUGAUGUGUUCCAUUGGUUUUUUUUCAAUUCUAUCGGGGUUUGGUUGGGAGAAGUGCAAGGACACUUUUAAAACAAAACUUUUGAAACAAAGAUUUGGUGGAAAGACGGUAAACAAAUGAGCAGUCAAAUCCAGAUGGUUCUCCCCAUUUUGGCUCAGGUUUUAAACUCAGUCUACAGGUAACAAAAGAGAUCACUGCUUUCCAUAGGAAAAGAAUAAUUCUGAACAAUGCAUUCCAUUAGAUUUUAAUAUUUGAAGUAGGAAGUGGACAGAGGCUGCAAUCCUAACCACACUUAACUGGGAGUAAGCUGCACUCAGUUCAAUGGGAAAUACUUCUGAGUAUACAUGGCUAGCACUGCAGCUUUAGUGUAUAUGGGCAGUUUCUAACUGAGUCAGUGUGGUGUAGUGGUUCAGAGCAGUGGACUUGUAAUCUGGGGAACCAGGUUCGCUUCCCUGCUCCUCCACAUGCAGCUGCUGGGUGACCUUGGGCUAGUCACACUUCUUUGAAGUCUCUCAGCCCCACUCACCUCACAGAGUGUUUGUUGUGGGGGAGGAAGGGAAAGGAGAAUGUGAGCCGCUUUGAGGCUCCUUCGGGUAGUGAUAAAGCGGGAUAUCAAAUCCAAACUCUUCUUCUUCUAACAACCAACAUCUUACACAGUCAACAAACAAAGAACGAAGGAAAACAAUGGGGUAUCUGUGGGGACAGCACCAAGUAUAAACCAGUCAAUAAGGAAACAGCGUACAGUACAAAGCAAUUUCCAUGUCUAUUUACAUAUAAAGUUUGCUUGUUAUUUUUGAUUUUGUAAACUUGUGCUGUAAUAAACUAAGGCAAGGUUUCUGGUUCCUAUCUGCUUUAAUGGAAGCAGCCCUCAUGACAUUGCGGGAAUCAAAGGAGAAGAAAACCAAGAAUGAUAGAGGGUAAAUCAUUCUUGGAAUUUCUUUCCAGGGAAGGGAGGAACGGGCUUCACUCGCAGUCCAUCCCGGUACCAUGGAAUGCGGGGGGGGGGGGCAGGGAGGCGCUGAGUGUAAAAGCACUUUGCCUGGCAAAAACCCUCCUACACCACCAUUCAGAAGCAGAGAUUCUCCUGUUAAUUGGAUUUUUAAUAGGCUUUAAAGUCAGGCAAGCUCCGAGGAAAGGUGUACUCAGAACUGCGGGAUUACCCAGCUGCAUUGAUCUGAGAUUUGGAACUGAGAAAAAGAUUUUAUUCGGCGUAGGAAGUGGAUGGCAGAGAGGGGAGCCUCUGGUUCCCUGUUUACUUUGAGUUUCUUUACUAAUGAUUCAGCAACCAUCUCCAGAUACAAAAUUUUAAAGAUACAAAUGAGGUUGAAUUGCAGUAUGGAAUAAGAUUUAUGAUUAAAAGAACAGUUAGCUGGGUGUGGUUUAAAGAGAUGACGGGAGAGCUCUAAUGCUGGAAUGGAUUAUCUUGGAUAAUUAGAGUGGAUACCAUCUGUACCCCCCUUAAAACAACAGAGAAGAGAUACAACUUAAGUGGACUUUGCCCAAAAUGCAGUUGUAAAGAUGAAAGGAAUUUGGAGCCAUGGACGAGGUAGGCAGAAGCUGGAUCUCUCCUUCUCGGGCUGUGGAAAUUUCUAGAUGUUGACUGAAUAGGGAGAAUGAGUGGACUAUGUUGGAGUAUGUUGUUGUCUGGAAACACCGAGCAAGAUGAGAGCACAAUGGAAGGGAGCUAAUGAGAUAUGUUGAAAAUUCUCCAGGAUUAUAGCCCCACCUCAGCUACACUGAGAGAAAACAGCAAUUGGAGGAAUUUCAAGAAUUGGACAGCAGACAAAGGCCAAGGACUUUAUAACUCUACAUAUUCAGAUUGACACACAGGGAAAAGGAAAAUAAUUAAAGCACCUCAUUUGAAAUCCUAUGGAAAGUUAGAUAAGGUAUUAACACGAAUAGUAAUUGCUAAAAAUGCAGCUGUUUAAGAUAGCAGCUUAAUAUGAUUAAUAUGCCAACUGAAAUGUAAUUAGAAGUUAAUAAAAAAUAUGAACCAC
rnacentral:lncRNA from 1 species